CGAUUCCCGCCGCUCAGCCCCGCCAUUGGCGGGCGGUUUGAAUGACGGAAGUGACGGGAGCUUGGCGAUGGCUGCCCCGCAGGCGCACAAACGGCUGCUGGGAAGCUGGUGGGCCGCGGGCGCCUGGGAGGUUUCUGUCUGAGCUGCCGUUCCUGAUUCCGGGCCCCCGGUUUUCAGAAACUUUAAAGUACCUGGAAAUGAAAAGAAAGGUAGGGAAUGCUGGCAAGCUGAGAUUGAGUCCUAACGAGGAAGCUUACAUUUUAAAGGAAGAUUAUGAAAGACGACGAAAACUAAGAUUGCUGCAGGUUCGAGAACAAGAAAGGGGUAUCGCUUUACAGAUAAGAGAAGACAUAAAACAGAGGAGAAAUCAGCAAUUAACUCGUUUGGCAGAGGAACUAAGGACAGAAUGGAAAGAAUCACAAACUCAGAAAAUAAAGAACUUGGAAAAGCUAUAUUUGGCAAGUUUAAGAAGUAUGGGAGAGGGACACCAACAUGCCAAAGAAAAUGAACCUGAUUUGAAUGCUCUGGCACGGCGGGCAGCAGAAAGAAGAAGGAAAGCAGAAAUGAGGCAUAAAGAAGCUCUGAAAUUACAAAAGAGUAAAAAAGAAGAACUAGCGAAACAAAAAACCUGGCAUAUAACAGCUCGAAAGGAAGCACUGCUUGUGGAAAAAGAGAGAUCGGCCAAAAUUACAAGUCUGCCACCACCACCCCCAGCUCUUUUUGAGAACAUUGAACUAAAGAGAACUUCUAAUGUGAAAACUGGUAGAUCCACCUAUCAUCAUCUUUGCACUUUUGUGAGCAGAGAGACGGACACAGAGCAGCCAGAUCCUCAUUUGGCUGCUGAAGAAGAAGCUAAAAGAUUGGAAGAACGACAAAAACAGGCAGCACGGGAGAGAAUGGAACAGUAUCAAAAGGCUCAUGUGCGGGGAUUUCAAGCAAUGAAAAAGAUCCAUUUGGCUCAAACUCAGGAGAAACUAAUGAAAGAACUCGAACAACUCCAACAAGAGGACCUGGCACGUAGGAGACAGACUGUGGCACAGAUGCCACCACAACUCAUUGAGCUUCCAUACAAACGCAGUGAAAUGAAAGAAGACUGGCAGAGAGAGCUGGAAUUUGCCUUUGAAGACAUGUACAAUGCAGACAGGAAAGUGAAAGGAAACCUGAUUUUGCACCUCGAACCGGAACCUUUGCCCACUGUGACUGAUCAGAUCCAAGAUGAAGAACUGGACCUUUCAAUGGAACAAGAAAGUUUAGGAGAAACUGAAAAUAGUCCAGUUACAGAAGCCGAAACAAUAUGUUCCAGUGAAGCAGAAGUUCCCUUGGCAAUAAAGACCCACCAGGUCCCUUCAAAAAUUCUUUUUAAAAAAUUAUUAAAUAAGAUCCGAAGCCAAAAAUCUCUCUGGACGAUUAAAUCCAUGUCUGAGGAUGAAAGUGAAGUGAUUACAGCUCUUAGUGAAACUGAGAGUAAAGCACCAACAGUUGAAUCAGGAGGAACUGUUGGCGAGGAGAGGACGUCAUCCUCUGGGCAGGAACAAGUUGCUGAAAGUGAUACUUUAACAAUUGACUCUGGACCACUUACUAGUGAAGAGAAACCACUUUCAUUGGAUACAGACUCUGAAAAGGAACAAGAAAUGAAGGAAGCUCAGCCUAUCACAGCUGUAGCUCAGAGUUCAAUUCUACUUCAUCCUCAAGAAGAAGCAUCCAGAAUUAGAAUGGCAGCAAGGCAGAAACAGAUAAUGGAAAUAGAAGAACAAAAGCAAAAGCAGUUGGAAUUACUUGAACAAAUUGAACGACAGAAGUUAAGAUUAGAAACUGAUUGCUUCAGGGCUCAGCUGGAAGAAGAAAGGAGGAAAAGAACACAACAGAUUGGGGUUGGCACUGCUCCAGCACCAUGCACGGUAACUUAUGAUGAAGAUAAUCAUAGGCAGAUGAUUCAUAACUAUCAACAUCAGCUUUUACAGCAGAACAGGUUUCACAGACAGUCUGUUGAAACAGCCAGGAAACGAUUACUUGAAUAUCAGACUAUGUUAAAAGGAAAGUACUCAUCUGGGUUAGCCACUUCACUGACAUCUGAUUCUGUUAAAUCAGUACUGCCACAGAAUACUGAGAGACCCACUGUUAUAUCAGAGCAUUGGGAUCAAGGUCAGAGACCCAAGUUGAGUCCUAACAAAUAUCUGCCUGUACCAUCCAUACAGAUCUCCAGAUCAGAAGAAGAUCAUUUUCAGAUUCCAAGACAAAGUCUCUUUCCACAAAGACAGGUAGAAAUAGACAUGGUAAUCAAUUCAGAUGUUUUAAAAGCCAAGCAGUCUUUGGAAUCAAAGGAACAGCCUAAGCAGUUCUCACGGAGUGAAGUACAACAGAGAGGCUAUAAAUUGGUUCAUAAAGAUUCUCAUAUACUUUCAAAGCCUUUGUCACAUGAUAGGCUGCUAAUAAUACAGGAUCCUAAAGAAAUAGCUGAAAUAUCUCGGGCAACAACUUCUCAAACUUUAGAUCCCCAGCAGAGGUUCUCAGAGAACAAGGAAAGUAUACCCUCCAAGCUAACUAAACGUUCUUCAUUCCAGCCAGCGGCAGCUGAGCAUGCUUUUAGUUCUCUGCCUGCUACAGUUGAAUCUGGAAAAAUCCAGGAAUCCUUUGUAGCCAGGAACAACAGUACAGUUUCUAUAAGUCCUUCUGUAAUCAGCCACAUGCAGGGUAAGUCUUUGCCAACCUCAGAAAAUAUCACAGCCCACCUGGGUAAUUUGAAGGCUCUCCAAGAACAGUUAGACCUACAGAAGGAGGUUCUUCGGUCAAGACAGGAAGCUCAGGAACGAUUGCUUUUGUACAAACAGAAAGAAUUGGAAGGACAAACUGGCCUCUCUGUCUCCCUUCCAUUAGUAUCUCUGGAUUCAUUCUCUACAUUGCCUUCUGCCAGAGCUGAAUCGGGGAGCAUCCAGGAAUCUUUUCCAACCAGGGAUGAUACUGCAGUUCCCUUAGGCCAUCUUGGGGUCCCACAACUUCCGGAUAGGCUUUGGAGUUUUUCACAACCUAUCUUAUCACAGCCAGAUAAUUUUAACUUUCUCCAAGAACAGUUUCAUAUUCAGAGGGACAGCCUUCAGGCUAGGCGAGAAGCCCAAGAGGUGUCAUGUGUACAUAAACAGAGUGAAUUGGGUGGAAGAAUAUGGUCUGAACAGACUGCGCCCCCUUCUCUCCCUUCGCAGGUAGCUCAGCAUACAUUUACUUCACUUCCUUCUACUUGCACUGGAAAGAUCCAGCUGCAGUAUUCAUCUGAGAGCGUGAAGGGUCUUCUCUCAAGCCAGUCUGAAAACCAGAAAUCUCGGGAUGGGUCUUUGAGUUUCCUACAGCAGUUCUUCCCUUUGCAUGAUAGUUUGCAGUUGCUCCGAGAACAGGUGACUACACAGAGCAAUGCCCUUCAGGCCAGGCAGGAAGUCCAGGCAGAAUUGCUUCUGCAUAGACAGAGGGAUUUGGAUGAGUCUGGGCAAAUGGGUUCUUCACUUCCACCAGCGGCUGCUCCAUGUUUAGUUGCUUCACAAGCUUCUGCUAAAACUGAACCUAGAAGAAUUGAGAACUUUGAUUUAUCUGAAAAGGAGAGUGUUAUUCCCUCUAGUCAUCCGGUAAUCCCAGCAUCUCAGGAUGGGCCUCACAGUUUUCCACAGCAUAACCUGCCAAGGCAAGAAAAUUUGACAGCACUCCAAGAACAGUCGCAUACACACAGGGUAAUGCUUGGUGCUGAACAAGAAACUCGGGAAUUUGUACACAAACCACAUGAAUUAGAGAAAACGGUUUCUUCUGAACAGACUAGCACCUCUAUAUCCCUGUCCCAGGUAGCUGAGUCUGAAAGAUGCCAGGAGUUUAUGCCAGGCAAGAGUGACAGUGCAGUUCCCUUAAGCUCUUCUACGAUCCCGAGGUUUCAGGAAAGAUGUCUGGGAUUUUUACAGCCUACACUACCUCUGCAAGAUAACUUGGAGGAACACCAAGAAUGGCUGGACACAGAGAAGGCGGCCCUUCACUUCAGCCAGAAAAGCCAAGGAAAGGUAUCUUUGGAACAAACUGACUCCUCAUUCGAGCCCCAGGUAGGGCAGCCUUCAUUUACUUCGUUACCUUCUGCUGAGUCUGGUACAACCCAGGAGCCUCCUUCAACUGAGAGUGACAGCAAAAGUCUUUCAAGCCAUCUUCAGAUCCCACAGUUGCAGGAUAGGCUUUGGAGGAUAUCACAGCUUAUUCGGCCUCAGCAAGAUAAUUUGAAGGCGCUCGGGGAAAGGUUAGCUACACAGAGAGAAGCUAUCAUUCAGUCUAGACAGGAAGCUCAGGAAGAAUUACUUCUGCACAAACAGAGUGAGUGGAAGCAAGGAAGAUCUCCUGAGCAUGUUGGCUCCUCUUCCUUCUCACCCCCUGUUGUACAGCAUUCGCUUGCUUCAUUACCUCUUAGUGAAUCUGGGAGAACCCAAGAACCUUGUUCAACUACGAGUGAUAAUACAGCUUCCUCAAGACAUUCUGAGAAACCGGGUCUGCCUGAUAGGCUUUUCGGUUUAUCACAGCCUGUUUUACCUGAACAAGAUCACUUGAUUGCACUUCAGCAAGAACACUUGCAUGCACAAAGCAAUUCUCUUCCGUGUGGCAAAAAACCCCAGAAAUACUUGGUUUUGCCCAGACAAUAUGAAUUUGAGGAGAAGUUAUCUUCUGAGCAUUUUGUCCAGCUUCCCCAUGGUGAUUUGAAAGUACUUCAGGAGCAGUUAGAAAUACAAAGAAAAGCCAUUCGAUCUAGACAGGAAGUCCAAGAAGAAUUAAUUUUGCAAAGACUAAGUAAAUUGGAGAAAAGGGUAUCCUCUGAGCAGAUUAGCUCUUCAUCGGUAUCCCAGGUAGCACCACCUGUUGCUGACUCUGAAAGAAUCCAAAAGCCUCUUACAACCAAAAGUGACAGUACUGUUGCCUCAAGUCACUCCAAGAUCUCAGCAUCCCAGGAUAGACUUCCGAGUCCAUCACCGCCUGUUCUGCCUUCACAGGGUAUUUUGGCAGCACGGUUGGACUUCGAGAGGGAAGUGGUGCAUUCUAAUGAGAAGGGCCAGGAAGAACUGUUAAACAAUCAAACAAAAUUGACUGCAAGUGAAUCUUGCGAGCAUCCUAUUCCCUAUUUGUUUUUACCCACAGAAAAGAAGCAUCCAUUUAUUCCACUCCCUUUUGCUGAAGUUAAAUCUAAAAACCAUGAUGAAUUGUAUUCAUCUAAGAAUGAACAGGCAGCUCUCUCAAGCAAUUCCAUGACCCCCAGACUUCAAGAUAGACUUGUGUGUUUUUCACAACCUGUCUUAACUCUGCAAGAUAACCUAGGACUUCAGAAGCAGUUGGAUCUACAAAAGAAAGUUCUGCAUUAUAGCCACAAAGCCCAAGAAGAAUUGCUUGUACAGAGACAGACAACACUGCAGCAGCAGGUACAGAAACAUCAAGAGACUUUGAGGGAUUUCUUUAAAUAUAGUCAGAUAAGUAAGCCCACAGCUGAAGGUGAUACAGAAACUCAGAAGCUCAGAGAGUGGCUUCCUGUUCUCCAAGACCUAGCAAGGGCUGAUCAGGAAGGCAUCAGUCCUGCGAAUAGGAGCAACUCUGGUGAUAAUCAUCAGCUGCUUUCAGAAGAGAGUGGUGUCCAGCAAAGUGGUGAGCAUCUGGACAAAGAACUGGGCAGAAGAUCCUCAAAGCCACCUGUAGCAAAAGUGAAAUGUGGAUUGGACUUGAACCAGCAUGAACUCAGUGCUAUACCAGAGGUAGAGUCACCAGCAAGUGGCAGAACAUCUAUACUAGGUAAACCAGAUUUUUAUCAAGACAGGGACCCCCUAAGGGUUUCAAUAAGCCGAGAACAAAGUUUCUUUGGGAGCCCACUGAACUGUGAUGCAUUUGGUUGUCUUGACCCUAUUGCCCAGGAAUACGUUUGUAAUGAUGAGUCCAAGGAAACAGUAAAGGUCAAGGAGGCUAUGGCUGAGAAUCAUGCCGUGGAGGAAGAACAGAUAUAUCUGAGUCCAACUAUGAAGCUGGAUAAUGCUGAAACAGAAGAGAUUUAUCAUGAGCCGUUAUCAUCAGUAACUGUUUCUACUGGGAGCUUUUUAAGUUACGAAAACACGGAUCUGAGCCUUACAGAUCCAGGGUCAUUUUCAGAGCUGGACCCCAGGGAACAAGAAUCUACCACUGGUAAAGAAGAGGAAAGAGAUAUUUUAAGUUCUGUACUUCCCUCAUCACAAGUUCAUUGUCAAAGGCAGGAUUCUCAGGAAGUUCUUCAAGCUCUGUUGCCUGCAGUGGAAAAGUUUACACCUGGUAAGACACACAUGCAGCAGAUGAUAGGCAAGCACAGAAAUGAAGCAAAUCUGAUGACUGAAAAAAACAGACUUGAGGUUGACCUGGACUUUCCGGAGUUGGAACACACUUUUCCAAAUUUGCAUCGUCAGCUAUUUAAACCCUUAGAACCACAUCCAGAUUUUGAUAUAUCAUCAUAUUCUGGGAUUUCUCAAGACAGCAGAGACUUUUACCAGAACUCAGAUUCUUCGUGUGAAAGCCACCACACUGUUGCAACACCCAGAAGCACAGUUUCUUUUACAGCACUGAAAACCAGCCUGAAUUCUUCUAACACAAGCCCAAACCAGCAGCUGGACCCUCCUUUGGCUCAUGCUGCUGCUCAGAUAUUUGCCACAGAAAAGACUGAAGGAUCUGAACAAUCUUUUCAACAGCUUCUGCCAGAAUUUUCUUCACAGGAGGGGAGCCAACAUAUUGAUCUACCAAGUAUUUUUAGCAUUGAAGCAAGAGAUUCUUCCCAAGGCAUGGAAAGUCAGAACUAUUCUGAACAGACUGAAAUACAAAAUAAGAAAAAAAGUGUUCAUUUCCACCUCUGUGUAGAAAAUUUACAGAGUUCAGUUUUCAGUUCCUCUGAUGAGGCUAAUGUAUUUCAUCCCUUAAGUCUACAGUAUAGCACGCCGUGUGGGUCUACCUCUAGUGAGUGCUCAACAAAAGCCCAACCCCAAGGCAGAAAAGAAAGACUGGGCUUUGAAGAACCAUCAGAAAGAGGACUUGAUGGAGAUAAAACUGAAAGCCUUGGGGUUUUAAAUAUAAAUUCACAUGUGGAGGAAAUGGAUUCUCAAUCCUGUGUCAGAACAGUAGAAAGGGGAACUUCAGUUCAAGCACCAUAUUCUGUUGAGAAUGAAAAGUAUUUUAAGAAUUCCACUAAGACAGAAACUCCAAAAAUCCCAGGAAACCUUUCUCACCUAGGAGAGUCAGAGCUCUUUUUAAGUUCUGGAUCAUUACAGAGCUCUAUUCCAGUGUGGGAGACAGAGUCUGGCCAUGGUAUAAUAGAAGAACCAGAGCUUACAUUACUAAGCACCAGUGAUAUCAGUAUUGCUGAAAUGGAUCUUGCAAAUCUAACACUAGAAGAAAGGAAAGGAAAUGAGGCAAAAAGCAGUUCUCAGGUGAGUGAACUUCUACCUUUUGUAACAGUAACAGAAACCUUGGAUUAUCCAGAUGUAUCUGAACACUGCACGGAGGAGCACAUGUUUGUGUCUGCAGAAACCCCUCCAAAGAUUAUAGCUCUACCUGGGAGCUUACAAGAAGCAUUUAUAAAGAGGAAAAAAUCAUUUAUAGAAAGAUCCUCCCAGAGACAGAAAGAAAUAAAGAAUAAAAUUCGUAUUUCUGAAAAUUCUCAAAUCAAAAUAGCUAAGGAGAAACCUACAGGCUCAUCUGUGAAUUGCCUGAAGGGUGUGAAUAAAGUUAAGGUUAGAGUGUCACUUCCUGAAGACAGAAAGACUGCAGAAGCCCUCAUGCAUCAAAGAGCCCUAAGUUCUGCGUAUACAUUUCUUACAGAUCAUACAAUCAGCUAGCUGAAGUCAAACAGCAAAGGGAAGAGAAAGCAAAGCAAGAUGCAUACACCCAAAACAGAGCAAGGGCUAAAGAAUUUCAUAAGCAAACACUGGAGAAACUUAGAGCCAAAAAUACAUGCUGACUUUCUACUAAAAGUGUAAAGUUUUUUUUUAAAUUAUGUGUAACAUAGGCAAAAAUUAUUUAAAGCCAAUAAAUUUUUAUUUAAGGA